rnacentral:lncRNA from 1 species
CCCGAUUUGAGUAAUUUAUUCAAAUCCAAGAUUUAGAAAAGAGGCAAAUUGCCUCUUUAUAUUUUCCAUUAGUGAAUAUAUUUAGACAUUCACUGUAAAUUCUGUAAUUUCUUAAAUGUAAUUCAUUUCCUUGCAACAUUUAUCUUAAUAUCGCCCCAGAUGCUCCUAAAAGUGAGAGUCUCGGCUUUUCUCAGUGAUCGCAACAGUUACCGUAACUAUAGCACGAAUCGCGCACCUUGAAUAUAGCGACGGCUCAUUUGACCACGGAAAAGUAAACGGCGGUUCAUUUGACCGUGGUGACACACCGGAGCAAACGGCAACUGUAGCUUGUUUGAUCCUUUCGGUAAUUAAUCUUACUGCAUCUAUUUAUGACAAUGAGUAGCACAUGUGUACAGCGAGCGGCGCUACAAUAAGUAUAGUGAAUUUUACUGUCUUGUCGUCUGCGUUAGAUUAAAGAUUAUGACACAAUAAAAAAGUGCUACCACUAGCAUCAUAAUGGCUCAGAGAACUUUCCUUUUACGAUGCAAACAAAUCGUUAAUAAGUGUACUCGACUUCUACAAGGGGACAGUCCACCAGAUGACGCAUUUCAAACAGUUCUAACAAGAAUGGAAACCCUUAAACGCUGUCUGGAGUGCUCAAGAGGGAGGUUGAUGGAUGCAACGGCAGUACAAGACAUGCUUGAAAACAUUGAGAAAUAUAUUCAGGAGGUCAAGGAAAUGCAACAGGGGGCUCAACAAGUGCUUAUAGACACAAGCUGUUACGGCGAUAAAGAGGCACGUGAUGGCUGGACUGUCAUGCGAGGUGGUGUCAGCAAAAGUAAAACUCACAAGUCAUAGAGUCAAUUGACUCUCUGCAUAUUCGUUGAGCCGAGGGCUGCUUGAAGUGCUGUUUCUGUUGUAAUAGAGGUGAGGUCAGGAAAAUAACUUUUCUUAAAUAUGACAUAUAUAGAUGCUUCAGUCGAACAAGUCUGUCACAAACAAGUAAUUCCUUUUCCAAUAGAUGUGUUUUGAUCAUUUAUCAUUAUCAAACAUGUGAUCACAUGACUUUUACUGGCUAAUGAAUUAUGCCUUCUACAUUAAACAAUUACUGUCUUUUUGUCCUCUACAGAUUAACGUGCACAUGCAUCAUAGACCAGAAGCACAAGUGGCCAUUGGUUUUAAUGCUGUCAACUAGGGCUCAAGCAUGCAUUAAAGAGUCCAUUACCUAAGAUGAUGUGGUUGUUAUUGCUCCUGAUACAAAGUUUUCGGUGUGUACACUUAAUGUCACUUUUCACAAAGACAAAUUCUGUAACAUCUGUUGUCUCUGUUUGAUUAUAGCAGGUAAUGUUUAUAUUAGUGUUUAGAAAGAUAAAAGAAGGUACAGUACUGGGUUGUAUAGCACCGACGCCUGUGUGGUCACGUGUAACACUUGACUGAAGUAUUUCAAAUAGAUUUCAGUAUUCCCCAGUAAAUAAAAAAAACUCUACAAAUGUCCA